GCUCACUGCCCCUAGCGCCGCGUCCGAGUCCCUUCGUGGACCGGAUGGCCGCGGCGGUGCCCCGGGAGCCGCAGGGUGGGCGUGGGCCGCGUGAGUGUUGGGCAGGCCUUUCCUGAUGUCAAGGUGCCCGGGCGGGCGCGCGUGGGCGUGUCCCCUCCAUCCACGCGCGGCCGCAGCACCCUCUCGGCUCUCGUCCAGGAUGCUGUUUUCUGACAUGGAGCCAUGGAGGUUGUAAGUACGAUGCUUCCAUAAUACAUUUGGAUGUUUUCAGCUAAGUUCACUUCUGAACUAUGGAGUUCCUCCAAAAGUUGGCUGAAAUUUGUCCUUGUAUAUCCCUAAGCUCAUCUGCAAAAUCUACAGUUCAUAAUGGAGCUACUGUACUGGCUAUCGGAAGGAGGAGAUUCAGAAGAUAGGGAGAUUCAGCUGUCGGGGUUUGAAACUUCCUGUGGUCUGUUCAAUCUAGACGCAAAGGACCUGGAACAGUGAAGUGCUCAAGAGGUUUAAAUUGUUUUGGAUACUGCUAUUUAUAGAUAAAAAUAUUUUUCCAAUUCAGAUCCUCAGUUGUUUUGCAGAAGAAGGUCAUACUCUUCUUGAUCAUCCAUUUUAUUUGAAAUGAUUAGUAUUGUAGAGUAUUACCAAACACUUUCUGUUUGAAUCAAAGUAUAGAAAAAAUAAAAUCAUUUCUAUAUGUUGA